UACGUAGGGGGCAAGCGUUGUCCGGAAUUAUUGGGCGUAAAGAGUUCGUAGGCGGUCUAUUAAGUCAGGGGUUAAAGAUCAAGGCUCAACCUUGGGAGUGCCUUUGAUACUGGUAGGCUUGAGGAUGGCAGAGGAAAGUGGAAUUCCAAGUGUAGCGGUGAAAUGCGUAGAUAUUUGGAGGAACACCGGUGGCGAAAGCGACUUUCUGGGCCAUAACUGACGCUGAGACGCGAAAGCGUGGGGAGCAAACAGG
rnacentral:rRNA from 1 species